rnacentral:rRNA from 1 species
AUUGAACGCUGGCGGCAUGCCUAACACAUGCAAGUCGAGCGAGCGGCGGACGGGUGAGUAAUGUAUGGGGACCGCCCGAUAGAGCGGGGUAACUAUUGGAAACGGUAGCUAAAACCCCGUACUAUCGGAUAACCCAGAUGGGAUUAGCUAGUAUGGGAGGUAAUGGCUCACCAAGGCGACGAUCCCUAGCUGGUCUGAGAGGAUGAUCAGCCACACUGGGACUGAGACACGGCCCAGACUCCUACGGAGGCAGCAGUGGGGAAUAUUGCACAAUGGGCGAAAGCCUGAUGCAGCCAUGCCGCGUGUAUGAAGAAGGCCCUAGGGUUGUAAAGUACUUUCAGUCGGGAAGCGUUACCGACAGAAGAAGCACCGGCUAACUCCGUGCCAGCAGCCGCGGUAAUUC